UUAAAGGAAUUGACGGGGCCCGCACAAGCGGUGGAGCAUGUGGUUUAAUUCGAUGCAACGCGAAGAACCUUACCUGGGCUUGACACUCCCGGGAAUCCCUGGAAACAGGGAGUGCCCUUCGGGAACCCGGUGACAGGUGGUGCAUGGUUGUCGUCAGCUCGUGUCGUGAGAUGUUGGGUUAAGUCCCGCAACGAGCGCAACCCUUGUCAUUAGUUGCUACGUUCAGUUGGGCACUCUAAUGAGACUGCCGGUGACAAGCCGGAGGAAGGUGGGGAUGACGUCAAGUCCUCAUGGCCCUUAUAGGUGGGGCUACACACGUCAUACAAUGGCUGGUACAAAGGGUUGCCAACCCGCGAGGGGGAGCCAACCCCAUAAAGCCAGUCGUAGUCCGGAUCGUAGUCUGCAACUCGACUACGUGAAGUCGGAAUCGCUAGUAAUCGUGGAUCAGAAUGUCACGGUGAAUACGUUCCCGGGUCUU
rnacentral:rRNA from 1 species